UGAUCAUACAUACUCGGGACAGCAGCAGCUUUAGUCGAUGAAUCGCAAUUAUGAACCGUUCCUUGGCAGUCACACCAUUAAACUGUCCCCAUGAUCAAGAACAAGAUAUUUUAAGGAGUGACCGGCGACCGGCUACGUCGAUAAAGCAGACGGGACCCGCUGGCCCUGGCAAAAAGUAUUCGAUCGAACGAAUCUCCUGUCGGUAAUUAUUUCGAAACUCGACGUGCGAGGUAUUCCCAUGAAUGGCAAAGGAAAUUCAAUGUACUCUACAAAGUGAAGAACAAGGAAAAGAGAGGAACUCUAGGAAGUGUCUAUCUUCCUGGUUCAGUUUGUAUAUUUGAAUUUGCAAAGGAGCUCUACGUUAUGUCAUGAGACAAGAGUCUGUAUUAACUUUAUAUGUAUACAAAUGGAUUCCUCGAGCAUGGAUGGCUCGAACACUUUCUGCCAGGGAAGUUUCUCGAGGGACCGCUGUAUCCACUGUUCCGUCGAGA